rnacentral:rRNA from 1 species
UACUGCGGAGACAUUACUGAAGAAUGGCAAAGGUUGAGCUGGCUCCUAGGAGUAUGUGCUUGCCUCUGUCGCUUUUUCUACUUUCCACUGUGCACCUUAUGUAGGCUUUGCGCGAACGGUUGACUUCAACCGAUUGUUAAAAGCCUAUGUCUUAUAUACACCAUUGAAAAGUCUUUGAAUGUGUCUCUAUUGUUGGUCUUUGAACCGAUAAUAAACUUGUACAACUUUCAGCAACGGAUCUCUUGGCUCUCGCAUCGAUGAAGAACGCAGCGAAAUGCGAUAAGUAAUGUGAAUUGCAGAAUUCAGUGAAUCAUCGAAUCUUUGAACGCACCUUGCACCCUUUGGUAUUCCGAAGGGUAUGCCUGUUUGAGUGUCAUUAAAUUCUCAAAGGCCCAGUUGGUUUUAACAAUCAAUCGGGACUUUGGACUGUGAGGGUUGCCGGUUCUUAACUGGAUCGGACUCCCUUUAAACACAUUAGUGGUUAUCGAUCCGCUUCCACUUGGUUGUGAUAGUCUAUCUACGCCUUUGGAGCUGGUCAGCUUGUUAUCCGCUUCUAACCUGCCAUUCAAUGGACAACUCUUUGACAAUUUGACCUCAAAUCAGGUAGGACUACCCGCUGAACUUAAGCAUAUCAAA